rnacentral:lncRNA from 1 species
GUCGUACGCUGAAAGCACAAUUCGCAGGUCCUCCCAGAGUCUCACAUUCGUUUUAGUGUGCUGACUCGCUCGAAGAUCGACGUAGUACCGACGGAGCUGAUCCAAGGUCGAAAUACUCCGGUUGUGAAAUCCGUACCGACCACUAUAUGUCUUUCCGCGGUUGAGCAGUGUCGUGUGCAUGUAGUCCUGCAGCGCUUUGUCAAGAGAGAAAGCUCCCCUCUGCAGCUGCAAGCCGAAAUUAUCCAGAUAUUCGACCUCCUUCCAAUGUAAGCGUCGCAAUCGCUCCAGCAUAACAAGGUAAUCAUCGAUAUGGUUCAAGAGUCGAUUUCGUUUCUCCGUGGGUUCUUUCCCACUGUCAUCUCGGGCUGGUAACGAAUCACAAACCUGUUUGUGCAACUCCACCAGUUCCACCCAUUUGUGCUUUCGGAGGCCACUCAUAACCGCUAAGGUUGCUCUCAAAAGUUGCAAGUUCACGUCCUUCGCGUCUUCAUCGUUGUUGAUAUCUGUCCUCUCCAACCACCGGAAGAGGUUGCUGAUGGCACUUUGUGAAAUUUGUAUCUCCGAAUCUCUGAACGCAUCAAUCAGAAGGCUCUGAUCAAAUCUCAAGUCGCCGCCUUCGUACAGACUUAAAGCGUCUGCCAGAAGUCUACCACGAUUCGUCCUUGUCUCGUUCAAGUUUUUGUCAUCUUCCGACUUUUUCUGUCGUUCUGAAUACUCUAAUUGCCUGUUUCGAAUUCGUUUCUCCAAAUCCCUGAUCUCCUCCAAUUCUUUCUCCACCUUCCUCCUCGUCUCCUCCACCUUGACAAGUUCUCCGUCAACAUCGACCAUGUCUAGACGUAGCUGAAGGGGUUCAAAAAUGAACUGCGUCACAAGAAAAAGCAAUAGCUAUACACUGGAAAUGCUUGAGUCCGUGUACCUUCGAUGGGCAACGUGGGUAGAUUCCCCAUACCCGGAAUCGCCACCGGAUGCCGCUGUGCUAGAGGAGGGUGAACCCGCCACACGCACGCGGACUUCUCAAAAAACAGCGGUGGUUCAUGAUAGCAAUCAUCCGGUGAGAAUUACUGUGACCACCUCAAGUUGUUGCAUUAAUGGCAGAUACACGUACUAAGACCGCGUUCUGAAAGCCAGUGUCGCUGGAAUGCAUGAGGGAAUGUAACGUAGACACUUGCGAGAGCCGCCAGUAGCAAGCCAUACGCUAACCACAAGGACAGACUGCAAAAACUUGCGAGCAAGCGCAAAGGCCACAUGGGCUCAACAAUCUUUUCGAUGUAGGAAAUGCACACCACGACGUACUGCGCAGCGACGAGUCAAGUUGCACGGUCCAGCGAUUCUGUGGACCGACCGGCUUGUCCAGCGGAACCAGUGGUUUUCUCGAGCGCGGCCUGUGCCUGUCUUUGCCACAGAAUGUGGAUGGAUCUGUGAGCUAAGUUGUUUCCCACAUAAGCACUGCCAUGUAUUUUGAGGAUGUAUCAUAAGUGGAAAAGCAGCGUUUCCCCACUGAAGGCACCAUGAACUUCAGUUUCGUUGGGGGACUAGAGCGCCACGCGCGGGAACAUAAACUGGAAAACUGAUCUGUUUGCGUAGUUGAUGAACGGAAAAAUAAUGGAGUGGGUGCUCAGAACUUGAUCCUGCUUUAAGUCUCUUCUGAUCAGUGCGUUCAGUCAUAGUCACUGGAAGUAUUUUUCGAAAACACUAGC